AUCGCUUCUCUGCCUUUUGGCUGAGAUCAAGUGUAGGGUCUGUUAUCAGUUUGGUGUCUUAUGUGUCCUCUAUCCGAGGACAAUGUAUUGAAUGGAUUUUUGGGAUUGGGGGAUGGAGUGGGAGCUUGUUCUGUCCGCUUCACGCAUCGACCUGGUGUUGUGGUACCUCCAGGAACGGUACACUAAAG